rnacentral:rRNA from 1 species
UACGUAGGGGGCAAGCGUUGUCCGGAUUUAUUGGGCGUAAAGAGCGUGUAGGCGGCCAGACAAGUCUGCUGUGAAAACUCGAGGCUCAACCUCGAGCUGUCGGUGGAAACUGUCUGGCUAGAGUCCGGAAGAGGAGAGUGGAAUUCCUGGUGUAGCGGCGAAAUGCGCAGAUAUCAGGAAGAACACCCGUGGCGAAGGCGGCUCUCUGGGACGGUACUGACGCUGAGACGCGAAAGCGUGGGGAGCGAACAGG